rnacentral:lncRNA from 1 species
UUUUAUUAAAGUAACCAUGAGAGAUACACUCGAUUGAUGCCCUCUUCUUUAGUUUGAGAAUCUUUUCAAGUUUGGGGUUUACUUGGGAGGGGGGAUGUGUGGUGUGGUAAGCAUAAUUGCACGGUGUGUAAUUAAAGAUAAUAGGGGCAUUAAGACUCCACGUCUUACUUGAGUUUUGAAGAGAAAGAAGAUUUCAUCAAACAACAGUGGCAUGCACAUUUGUCGGGGUGCAAAGACCUGAUUGGUUGUCGCAGGUGGUUCCAGAGUAUAAAUUGACUUUGAGUGAGAAAUUAUGUAGUUCAAUCUUUCCCACAUCAAGACCACUGCUUCACUUUCUCCUGAUACCAAGACAAAGGAUCAAGAUGAUAUCUGUGGUGCUAUUGAUGUGCCUGCUGGGCUUCUCCCUGGCUGCUCCAACUCCUGAUAGUGGAAGCGAUGAGCAGGUUGCAGCACAUGCCAACGAGGCCCUGAGAUGGAUGGAGCUCUACAGAAUGUAUGGUUCCCUCGGACAACUGGUUAGAGGGCAGCCAUUUUGUUUCGGAUUGAACUUGCACAACAUGUUAGACAUAUGUUAGACAUAUAACAACAUAACAACUUUCAAUGGAAUAAAAAGAAGGUGACAGUAGCCUCGAGUUUAGAGCGACAAACCAGCAACCGGAGGGUUACCAGUUCGAAUCCUAUUGCUGAUGAGAGGGGGAGGGAUCUGGCGGCAUUGAGACGGCAAUGAUGCUGGCAUCAUUAUCUCACAUGCCAUUUAGCAAGGAACUUAACCGCUUAAACUGCUAAUUGGGCACUGCACCGCAGCUGCCCUGUGCUAUAACCUCUCCAACCUAAUCUGUUUGAAUAUGUAUGUACAUUGGAGGGGUUGGAAUUUAAAAAAAGGCAAAGGCAAAUAACUGGACAAGUUUCAUAUGGACGAAAAAAAAUUAGAUGUGUAACCUUUAUUUAACUAGGCAAGUCCGUUAAGAUCAAAUUUGUAUUUACAAUGACAGCCUACUGGGGAACAGUGGGUUAACUGCAUUGAUCAGGGGAAGAAGGACACAUUUUUACCUUGUUAGCUGCGGGAUUCGAUCCAGCAACCUUUUGGUUACUGGCCCAAUGCUCUAACCACUAGGCUACCUGCCACCCCUAUAUAUAGUAACUUAAUCUCUGCAUACAUCAUGGAUGCAUUUAAAUCGAAAGCAUAUUAAAUGUUCAAUUUAAAUCAUAUUGAUGUCAGCUAUUUAGUUUUAGACGUAUGUACAACAUGUUAGACAUACGUCACAUUGUGAAAGAAGGACAUAUAACAUUAUUCCACUGAGGAUAGGCUAUACAUUUGACUGAAACAGUGUUUUUUUAUCAAAAGGUUUAACUUUGAGUUUCACCACUAGGCUUUCCAAAUACUAAAAAGCCAUCGAGAAUGAUAUACUAUCGAUUGAUAACAUAUACACUGAGUGUACAAAACAUGUUCUUUCCAUGACAUAGAUUGACCAUGUGAAUCCAGGUGAAAGCUAUGAUCCCUUAUUGAUGUCACUUGUGAAAUCCACUUCAAUCAGUGUAGAUGAAAGGGAGGAAACAGUUAAAGAAGUAUUUUUAAGCCUUGAGAUAAUUAACACAUGGAUUGUGCAUGUGUGCCAUUCAGAGGGUGAAUGGCCAGGACAAAAUAUUUAAGUGCCUUUGAAUGGGGUAUGGUAGUGUGUGCCAGGCACACUGGUUUGAGUGUGUCAAGAAUUGCAACCCUACUGGGUUUUUCAUGCUCAACAGUUUCCUGUGUAUCAAGAAUGGUCCACCACCCAAAGGACAUCCAGCCAACUUGACAUAACUGUGGGAAGCCUUUGAGUCAACAUGGGCCAGCAUCCCUGUGGAACACUUUUGACAACUUGUAGAGUCCAUGCCCCGACUAAUUGAGAUUGUUUUGAGGGCAAAAGUGGGUGCAACUCAAUAUUAGGAAGGUGUUACUAAUGUUUGGCACACUCAGUGUACAUAUGCAGUAUCUACAUUAUCCAUCUCUCCAAUGCUGUAGUGUUUUGCUCUCCUUCAUAUUUAGGCCAUUUCCAUUUAUCAACUCCUCAAACACCCCCACUCAACAAUCCCAUAAAUAAAGAAACAUAAUGAAAUAAUUAGCUCUGUAUAUCAACCCUAUCAGUGAUCAUCUAAUCAAUUGAAUUAUUUUCUUUCCUCCGAAGGCUGCACCAGCUCAGCCCCCAAUGGUAAAUGCUACUUUUCGAAACUCUUUAAAAAACUGUAGAAAGAUUCUUCUCAUAAACAUCCCUAGCUUUUCUAACACUUCUAUCACUCCUUGCGAGACUCAAGACACAAUACCCUGUUUUAGAGCUAAUAGUGAUGCCAUAAUGUUGUCUGAAAACUAUUUUGGCCUGAACCAUUUGUGGUGUGAACAGUUGAAUGCCCCUGCUGCAGCCCCUGCUGCCCCAGCUCAAGACCCCAAAUUCUUCUACCCACCACCACCAAUGAACUCAGAUGAAGAGGCCCCAGUGCCCCACUAUGGCGGCUAUGUCAGAUACUAUCCCUAUCCUGGCCAGGCUGCACCUGCUGCCCCCGUCCUCCCUCUGAACUCUGACGAGGUUGGAGAGGACGAGGCUGCCGCUGAAGCCGAGGCUGAGCCAGCAGUGGACCACGCAGCUGAGGAACCAGCAGUUGUGGAUACCGCCACCCCAGUAGACCCAGCAGCUGCAGCCCCUGUCGACCCAGCCGUGGAUGUGCCUAUCGAUGUUGUUAUACCCGCUGCCGUCGACAUCCCUGCCACCAUUGACACUGUUGCCACUGACAUCAUUGUUGUCAAUCCCGCUCUCAUAGCGCCAAUCGACACCACCGUGGUGUCUGGGCCUUCAGACCCCACCCUCCCUGUUAUGUAGGCGCCACAGUAACGGUUGCCAGCCUGCUCCUGUGUCGAGCCAGGGAGACAUUCCCUCCCGUAGUCAUUGUAACACAAAAGGAGAAACAACAGUGAUGGGGAAAGGGCAGGGUAGGAGCAGCGAGGUCUAUGGUAUGGCUACUUGAAUAGGGACUGAAAUGGAAUUUGGCAAAUACGUGGGAUCUCUGUGAACCUCCAUGUGUGAAUGAGCCUGUACUGUUAUUGUGCAGUCACAAAAAAUAUGAUGAUUCAGUCUUUUCUCUUUGUGCUUUUUUCAGUCUUUAAAUAAAAAUGCCUGUUGAGAUACUGCACUUGAUGCUCUUUUUUUUAUCAGCAGAAGAAUUCCUGUUUUAUGAUGUGAUACUUCACAUUACGUUGG